UACGUAGGGGGCUAGCGUUGUCCGGAAUCAUUGGGCGUAAAGAGCGCGUAGGCGGCUAGAUAAGUCCGGUGUGAAAGUCACAGGCUCAACCUGUGAAUGCCGCUGGAAACUGUCUGGCUAGAGUCCGGAAGGGGCGAGUGGAAUUCCUGGUGUAGCGGUGAAAUGCGCAGAUAUCAGGAGGAACACCAACGGCGAAGGCAGCACUCUGGGCCGGUACUGACGCUGAGGAGCGAAAGCGUGGGGAGCAAACAGG
rnacentral:rRNA from 1 species